ACCCACGAUAAAUCUUACCACUUCUUGCAUAUUUUCCUAUUCGGAAUUUACAGGUGUUGCAUGGCUGUCUUUAGUUCGUGUUGUGAAAUGUUAGGUUUAUUCCGAUAACGAACGUAAACCUUGUCCUUAAUUAUUUUAAGGAAAUGUCUAUCGAUAUUAUAGAUGAAUGAGGAUGAAGACAAGUCCUCAUGACCCUUAUGAAGUGGGCUACAGACGUG
rnacentral:rRNA from 1 species